AACGAACGCUGGCGGCAUGCCUAACACAUGCAAGUCGAACGAGACCUUCGGGUCUAGUGGCGCACGGGUGCGUAACGCGUGGGAACCUGCCCUUAGGUUCGGAAUAACUCACCGAAAGGGGUGCUAAUACCGGAUAAUGUCUUCGGACCAAAGAUUUAUCGCCUUUGGAUGGGCCCGCGUUGGAUUAGCUAGUUGGUAGGGUAAAAGCCUACCAAGGCGACGAUCCAUGGCUGGUCUGAGAGGAUGAUCAGCCACACUGGGACUGAGACACGGCCCAGAAUCGUACGGGAGGCAGGAGUGGGGAAUAUUGGAGGAUGGGCGAAAGCCUGAUACAGCAGUGCCGCGUGAGUGAUGAAGGCCUUAGGGUUGUAAAGCUCUUUUAGCCGGGAUGAUAAUGACAGUACCGGGAGAAUAAGCUCCGGCUAACUACGUG
rnacentral:rRNA from 1 species